rnacentral:rRNA from 1 species
ACGUCAAUCAUCAUGCCCUUACUGACCUGGGCUACACACGUGCUACAAUGGUUGGUACAACGAGGUUGCGAGUCGGUGACGGCGAGCUAAUCCUACUUAAAGCCAAUCUCAGUUCGGAUUGUAGGCUGCAACUCGCCUACAUGAAGUCGGAAUCGCUAGUAAUCGCGGAUCAGCACGCCGCGGUGAAUACGUUCCCGGGCCUU